rnacentral:rRNA from 1 species
UACGUAGGGUGCAAGCGUUGUCCGGAAUUAUUGGGCGUAAAGAGCUCGUAGGCGGUUUGUCGCGUCUGCUGUGAAAACUCGGGGCUUAACCCCGGGCCUGCAGUGGGUACGGGCAGACUAGAGUGCGGUAGGGGAGACUGGAAUUCCUGGUGUAGCGGUGAAAUGCGCAGAUAUCAGGAGGAACACCGGUGGCGAAGGCGGGUCUCUGGGCCGACACUGACGCUGAGGCGCGAAAGCCAGGGGAGCGAACGGG